rnacentral:lncRNA from 12 species
GAUCUUUAGGAAAACAAACCCAUUUAAUUCAGAACACCCACUAACCAUAUUUUACAUUAUUUUCAGCCAAGAUGUUACUGGGACUGUCUUUAAAUCAAACCAAGCUAACAAGAGGAAAGGAAACUGUAAAGGCAGUAGCUAUACCUAGCUGCCUCUUCCCCCUGUCACCCUGAUGCAGCCAGAGAAACUACCUUCCAAAAGCUGCCUCCUGCCUUGAAACCUGCACCAGAGGAUGGUUCUGGGAA